UGCCCUAGUAACGGCGAGUGAAGCGGCAACAGCUCAAAUUUGAAAUCUGGCUUCGGCCCGAGUUGUAAUUUGUAGAGGAAGCUUUAGGCGCGGCACCUUCUGAGUCCCCUGGAACGGGGCGCCAUAGAGGGUGAGAGCCCCGUAUAGUUGGAUGCCUAGCCUGUGUAAAGCUCCUUCGACGAGUCGAGUAGUUUGGGAAUGCUGCUCAAAAUGGGAGGUAAAUUUCUUCUAAAGCUAAAUACCGGCCAGAGACCGAUAGCGCACAAGUAGAGUGAUCGAAAGAUGAAAAGCACUUUGAAAAGAGGGUUAAAUAGCACGUGAAAUUGUUGAAAGGGAAGCGCUUGUGACCAGACUUGCGCCGGGCUGAUCAUCCGGUGUUCUCACCGGUGCACUCUGCCCGGCUCAGGCCAGCAUCGGUUCUCGCGGGGGGAUAAAGGCCCAGGGAAUGUAGCUCCUCCGGGAGUGUUAUAGCCCGGGGCGCAAUGCCCUCGCGGGGACCGAGGUUCGCGCUCUGCAAGGAUGCUGGCGUAAUGGUCAUCAGCGACCCGUCUUGAAACACGGACCAAGGAGUCAAGGUUUUGCGCGAGUGUUUGGGUGUAAAACCCGCACGCGUAAUGAAAGUGAACGUAGGUGAGAGCUUCGGCGCAUCAUCGACCGAUCCUGAUGUUUUCGGAUGGAUUUGAGUAAGAGCGUUAAGCCUUGGACCCGAAAGAUGGUGAACUAUGCUUGGAUAGGGUGAAGCCAGAGGAAACUCUGGUGGAGGCUCGCAGCGGUUCUGACGUGCAAAUCGAUCGUCAAAUCUGAGCAUGGGGCGAAAGACUAAUCGA
rnacentral:rRNA from 1 species